UGGGGGAUAUUGCACAAUGGGGGAAACCCUGAUGCAGCAACGCCGCGUGAGGGAAGACGGUUUUCGGAUUGUAAACCUUUGUCUUUGGUGAAGAAGAAAGUGACGGUAGCCAAGGAGGAAGCCACGGCUAACUACGUGCCAGCAGCCGCGGUAAUACGUAGGUGGCAAGCGUUGUCCGGAAUUACUGGGUGUAAAGGGAGCGUAGGCGGGAUUGCAAGUUGAAUGUUAAAACUAUCGGCUCAACUGGUAGUUGCGUUCAAAACUGCAAUUCUUGAGUGAAGUAGAGGCAGGCGGAAUUCCUAGUGUAGCGGUGAAAUGCGUAGAUAUUAGGAGGAACACCAGUGGCGAAGGCGGCCUGCUGGGCUUUUACUGACGCUGAGGCUCGAAAGUGUGGGGAGCGAACAGGAUUAGAUACCCUGGUAGU
rnacentral:rRNA from 1 species